GGGCUCGAGGGAGAUGGCGCCGCGCUCCCCGAUGAACAGAGAAAGCGACAGGACGCCCUUGCAUACAUUAAGAUAUGUAUAUAUGGAAAUGUUACCGGGAGUCCCGGUUAUCCCAAAAAGGAUUGUUUCCUGUUGUGUGGUGAGGCCAAUGCACGAAACCGAAAGGGAGUGUGUCAAGCAGUGCAGGCUUUAUUCAAUGGCUCUGGAAUUGGAAGAUCUGAAAUCAACUUAGCUGGUGAGAGCUGGGAAGUUACAGAGGUAGGGUGUCUUUAAUGAAGGGGCUGGGCAUUAAGAGCACGGGGGGGAAUAUUCAUGCUUUUCUUGGGAAAGAACGGAGAUUUUUCCCGGAAUCAAGGAACCCCUUUUUUUCUGUCCCUUCUUGGUCUCUUCCAGUCGUUGUCAUGGCGACUGUCAAUUGUCACGGCGCUGGUGGGAGUGUUGUUUAGCAUGAGAACUGGAUGAUAAUAAAGCCAGAGGCUCGUCAGAGGCGCCAUCUUGGAUUUCGCCAGCUUCAGCUGGUUUCGUCCCAAGAAGGAACUUCAAAACACAGGCAUUGUUUUUCCUGAAAAUAAGCAGAGUUAAAGCUGAGUAGGAAUUUAGCUCUGUCCCAUAUGCUAUCGCGUUGGGCAGCAAAAGCAGGGUGGGGUCCAGCGAAAUCAGCAGGCACUGCAAUGAGUAACAUACCCAGCUACGUUUAUGCAGCAUUUUUACGAAAAUGAAACCAUACUACCUGUAAAGGAAGAUAUGCUAACAAACAACAAAACUGGCAGGAACCAAGAUUCCUACUGACACUACCCUUAGUU
rnacentral:lncRNA from 1 species